rnacentral:rRNA from 1 species
ACGCUGGCGGCGUGCUUAACACAUGCAAGUCGAACGCUGAAGGCCUGGCUUUUGUUGGGUUGGAUGAGUGGCGAACGGGUGAGUAACACGUGAGUAACCUGCCCUCUUCUUUGGGAUAACGCCCGGAAACGGGUGCUAAUACUGGAUAUUCACUGAUCUUCGCAUGGGGGUUGGUGGAAAGGUUUGUUCUGGUGGGGGAUGGGCUCGCGGCCUAUCAGCUUGUUGGUGGGGUGAUGGCCUACCAAGGCUUUGACGGGUAGCCGGCCUGAGAGGGUGACCGGUCACAUUGGGACUGAGAUACGGCCCAGACUCCUACGGGAGGCAGCAAUGGGGAAUAUUGCACAAUGGGCGAAAGCCUGAUGCAGCGACGCCGCGUGAGGGAUGGAGGCCUUCGGGUUGUAAACCUCUUUCGCUCAUGGUCAAGCCGCAACUGUGGGUUGUGGUGAGGGUAGAGGGUAAAGAAGCGCCGGCUAACUACGUGCCAGCAGCCGCGGUAAUACGUAGGGCGCGAGCGUUGUCCGGAAUUAUUGGGCGUAAAGGGCUUGUAGGCGGUUGGUCGCGUCUGCCGUGAAAUUCUCUGGCUUAACUGGGGGCGUGCGGUGGGUACGGGCUGACUUGAGUGCGGUAGGGGAGACUGGAACUCCUGGUGUAGCGGUGGAAUGCGCAGAUAUCAGGAAGAACACCGGUGGCGAAGGCGGGUCUCUGGGCCGUUACUGACGCUGAGGAGCGAAAGCGUGGGGAGCGAACAGGAUUAGAUACCCUGGUAGUCCACGCUGUAAACGUUGGGCACUAGGUGUGGGGGCCACCCGUGGUUUCUGCGCCGUAGCUAACGCUUUAAGUGCCCCGCCUGGGGAGUACGGCCGCAAGGCUAAAACUCAAAGGAAUUGACGGGGGCCCGCA